CCUACGGGAGGCAGCAGUAGGGAAUAUUGCUCAAUGGGGGAAACCCUGAAGCAGCAACGCCGCGUGGAGGAUGAAGGUUUUAGGAUUGUAAACUCCUUUUGGGAGAGAAGAGAAUGACGGUAUCUCACGAAUAAGCACCGGCGAACGCCGUGCCAGCAGCCGCGGUAAUACGGAGGGUGCAAGCGUUACUCGGAAUGACUGGGGGUAAAGAGUGCGUAGGCGGGCUUGUAAGUCAGAUGUGAAAUCCUGUGGCUUAACUACAGAACUGCCUUUGAAACUCUGAGUCUAGAGUGUGGGAGAGGUAGGUGGAAUUCUUGGUGUAGGGGUCAAAUCCGUAGAUAUCACGAGGAAUACUCAUUGCGAAGGCGACCUACUGGAACAUUACUGACGCUCAUGCACGAAAGCGUGGGGAGCAAACAGGAUUAGCUACCCGUGUAGUC
rnacentral:rRNA from 1 species